CUCUUUUAAAAUGUUCAAGUAAUAUUUCAUAGCUGCAGAUGCAAGUAUUUACACAAGGUCCAGGGAAGACUAAGUUAAACAUUAGAAAGAGGAAAAAGAGGGAGAAAAUAGAGAAGCCAUGCUUUUAAGCAGAGCUUACAACCUGGGGAAGAUCAGCAGGCCACAUUUGAGAACAGAUUAAUUUAUCCUUAGCUAAUUACUCUGUAAGGUUCAGCUGAACUGCCACCACCACUAACAGUCAAGACAUAUCACAAUGGAUUGUUCUGUCUGUUUGAUAAACUCAUUCACUAAACAAGUUGCUUUCUGGCUGUGUAUGUGCAAUAAAAUCUAGCCAGUCAAUAGUGCUGCUACUGAUCCCAUUCAGAUAAUUUUCUCCCUUUUUGUUAUGGCUUGUCAUCUUCAUCCUGUUCUUUGCAUUGUUCUCUCUAGUUUGAGGAGAAGCCUGGUAGUCAAGCCUAGUAUGUUCUAGUUGUUGCUCUUCUGACUAUUAUUUAUGUUUUAGCAACUCUGUCUUCAGUUUACCCAUCUGUAAAACUACAAUAGUAUUUAAAAGUCUCUGGGAAUCUUUUAAAGUAGGAAGCAGCUCAGAAUGAAACAGAGUGCAAAGGAAUUUUAGAAUUACAAGUUUCAAGAAAUAUCCUGUAUGUUCAUUAAAUUUUAAUAAAGGAGUUGUGCCAUGGCAAGGAUAUAGUUUAAUUUUGAUUCGAAAUGUGUACUCAAAAAAAAGUGAUCAUUCAAUAAGAAGUCAGUACCUGUUUUGUCUUUCCAGUGUAUAAGGAGAUUAAGAGAACUGACAGUUUCAUGGAAACAGUUUGAAGAUCAAGUUAGCUUGAUUUUUUUUUAAUUAUCCAAUAAAGUGUAUGUAAACAUGAAAAUUUUUCAAACCAUUUAAGCUACAGUAAUAGAGUAGGCCUUUUGGGGCAUAUCUAUGGAUAAAUAUAUAUUUAUCCAUAUGGAUAGUCUUGCUAAAGCAGCUGUUUUCUGCAGAAUUAUAGCAUUUUUUUCAUUGCUAUGGACCUGCCAUUAGUGCUGACAUUAAUGAGGACUAAAUCAGGCCCAUUGUACCGAAAACUUAACAGUGUGCUUAAUCUAAGUCUAAGGAUGGAGGCAGCUUGCUUUGAAACAAAAAGGUAAGCAAUUAAGUUUAACUGGUUUAUUGCUUUGUAAAAUUCUGUCCUUAGAUUCACAGCAGCAUUAAGCCUUUUCAGUUAAUUUUUGUUAAACAAUGAAGUAAAAAUGAACAAUUUCUUUAAAAACUGAGAUAAAAUAUAGCUUCCUACCUGCAGAAUAGAAUGGGCAAGGUACUCACUUUUUAGCUUAGCAACAUAAUAAAACUAAAAAGUAAACAUACCUCUUACUACGAACAAAGAAGUGCUGUUCAUUUGAUUACAACAAAAAGGAAACUUCAGAGAACUGAUUUAAUCACAACAAUUGGAGAGUCUGAGAAGAAGCAUAGGAACAUGACUUACAUUAACACACACCACAACUAGAACUAUACAUACAAAAACCACAUGCAUAUAAGAGAGAAUUUGAGAGAGGUUCAUUUACUACAGCAGCCUUUAGCCAUUAAAGGGGCAGAUGGAAAAAAUUUCCAUGUCAUUAAAAGCACUUCGGGAAUUAAAAAAGAGUUGAAGAGUUUCCUCCACCACUUCCUCCCUUCUUCAUUAUCUUUUUUUUUUUUUUUUUUAACCAAACUUUCUAACAGAUAAAAAUGAAGUGCAAUAUGGGGUUUGAAGAGAUCUCAAGAGAUACUAUGCUAUUGUCAUUAAGUAUCUGGCCUAUUGUCACCCUUUGAUAUUCAACAAAUGCAAGUCCAAUUUGUCAUGAAGACCUGCAGUAUUACAGCUGAUAGUACAAAGUCUUUCAAAUGUGCCUUAUUGAAAAGUUAUAAUGCCAUAGGUUUCACAGGUUAUGUAUUUCUCCAAAUUUGACAUAAAUGGGUAGGGAAAAUAAUAGUGCAUUCAAAGAAUAUGCAUCCCCUGGAUUCAUAUAUUUAAAGAAAUCCUUUUAAUUUUUGUGAGGUGAAAUGUGCUCAGGCUGCAUCAGUUUAAGCUUGGAGGAAUGCCAAGGAAAUCAGUCUAAUAACUCAAGAGUCAUAUGGUGUAGAAAAGAGCAGAAUUUGGUACAUGAAGUCCUAUCUUUUCUGCAAGGACGGCUAUUUAUAGUUCCAUUUUCAUCCAGCAGUUCUGACUAUCUUUUUAGUAGUGAGUGCCACAUAGUAAACAUCUUUCCCCCAAGCAAGCCAGCAAUCUCUCCAAAGCUAAAGACAAGAAGAAAUACACAGUCAAAAUUGCUAGAAUUUUCAAUAUUCUCAGUUUUAUGUAUGGGGAGUUGGCAGUUCAGAAAGAAAAUAAUAGUAAUAAUAAGCAAGCAAGCCUUUCUUCCUUGCCUGUAAGUACAGCAAUAUCCUCAGGAAGCAAAGUGGUUUUUCAUAACUAUGUUGAGUUAAAAAGAAAAAAAAAAGCAGGAGAACAAAGGCCAAGAAGUAGACAUGUCAUAUAGGAUAUGAAGGGGACUCCUUCCUCACUGGAUAAAUCACUAGAAGUACUAGAAAAUUCAGAACAAGCAAUGUGACAUAAAAUUAAAUGGUGAGAAGAAUCUGACUAUAUGCUGUCAUCCCCUUUUUGAUCUGAAGACAAGCUGAACAGCUACCAUCUGAAAGUGCAAGUCACUAAGCAUUGCAGAUAUUUCUGAAAACAUAGGCUGAAGCUAUUGUGUUUCCUUGCAUCAUAGCAAUUUUGCAAUAAUUUUCAUUACUUGGCUUCUAAGUGUUCUAUGUUCUAUGUAUGUAUUAAUAUCUUUGCUCUAUGGAGAGAAAAUAUCACACCCCAAAGGUAAUUACAGGAGGGUUUAACUAGGAGUGCCAAUGCCACCUUUUGAGUAUGAUCUCCCUAGUUAUGUCCAGGGAUAUUUUUCCAAUAUUUGAAAUGUUAAGACUUCUUGUUCAUUUUCCUCUCUCUGCCAUGAUUUGCAUAGUUGUCCCACUCUCUCCAAAUGCAGUUGUUCUAUAGUUUUCACAGCCAUGUGAUCUGUGUAAUUCAUUGUGAUGCUUUUUCAGCUUCUCUACUGAUAGAAUAUACUGCAGAAAGAGGUUGAAUUUUUAAAAUAGUCUUUGUACUGAUUUACUUUCCUUGAAGUCUUUCUUAUUCUGGAAAAAUUGCUCUGUAGCUCUUCAGCUGCUCUAAUAAGGAGGGGCAAAUGUGUACCUAGUAUUUUCAUUCUUUGACAGCAUUUGUUAUGUAUAUGACGUAAAGAACAUCUAAACCUUGGUAGGUGUAUUGUCAUUCUGACUUUUUCUGUAUUGUUUUUGAUUUGCUUAAAACAAUCAUUAGGCAGCUUUGUAUGACAGCCACUGUUCAUCAUUCACUUGGACGGGAGCUGGUCUGCUGUUUCCCAGUACUGACGUUCCAAAGCACUGGUGUGUUUUUGUUUUCUUCCAUAUAUUGUAACAGCUGUUCAUUUGAGAACUAAAAAUUUGCUAGCCAUUAUUUCUUCCUGUCAUAUCCUUAUUCCCUUUCCUGCCACACUGCUGAUUCUGUGAUCACAGCCUCCAUUAGACAAUACUUAACCUCGUCAACACUUGACCUGGUUAAGUAUUCCAGCUCUGAUAUCUAGUCGAAUAUCUAUUACUAGUUAUAGCUAUACAGUUGUUAAAAGUAAUGUAGUUCCAAGUUUCAGCUUUUUAAUCUGUGUAAAAGUGAAAAAGUAUGUUCUAAAUUAAAUUCCAUGAUGUUAAAAAACUGAAACUGCAAAGCAGUGCAGUUCUUUAACUGUUUACUUAAUCAGUACAAUUCCUUAACUAGUCUAAUGAGCAGUUUUAAAAAAAUCUGUGUAAACAGUCAGCACUCUGAUUGCUGCUUAUUAGGAGAAUUAACAUCCAAAUUCAUAUUUUGGAUUGGGGCCAUAGUGUAAACUAUGGAGCCAGUAGUAAAGGGAAUCCCCCAGCUGUACUCACUCUCAUAUUGGUUUGAUUCACAAGUGGAUCUGGUUUGCACAAAUCUUAGAUGCUUUUCAGAAGGAACUAAAAUCUAAUCUGCGUUCAGGAUGCAACCCACACCCCUUCUAAUUGGGAUGGACAGAUUCAAUUAACAAUGGUUUAAGUUUGUGCAGCUAGAGACAUGUAUGCAAUGUGAUCAUUAAAACCAGACAGCCAGGGAACAUUUAGUCUGAAGUUAAAACCCUGAACUCCAUAUGGUGUUGAUGUUUUGGACCUCUCAGCAACACCUUCUAGCUACUGCUUCAUGCCUGUUGUUCCAAAUUUCUUGCUUAGAAAUAGCAGAUUUAUGAGUGAUUAUGGCCAAUAUAUCUAGUGUUAUAAUACCAUUGCUCUUAAAAAUACAUCAGAGCUGUGGAAGCUGGGAUUAAAAGUCCCUUGUUUGACUCAAAUUGUGGUGAGAGUCUUUUGUGGCAUUUCAGAACAGUUUGUGCAAGGUUUUUGCCUUUGCAUUGCUGGAGGCUAGCAUUGGCUAUUUUGAUAUUUUCUUAAGAGCAGAAUACCAUUGUUUCAUGGCAUUACAGAACAAUAAUAGCAUUCAGUUAACUUCUGGAACCAUCAUCCAUUCUGUUGACAUUAUCUUUCAGUUAUUUAUAAUUGAUUUAAAAUCAAACAAUAGUGUUAUAUAACAUGCAUCUUAUAACACCACUGUUUUGUUAUUGAAGUUCUCAUAUGACCUUGUAUGUGUAAGUAGUUACUUUUUUCUGGUCUAGAGAGAGCUCUCGGGUGAAACUUUCAUCAAAUUCUCAGGGGUUAUGUCUUCAUUGCUGUAAUAAUACAGCUGAUCUGCCACUGAGCAUGGUCAUCUCUGGUCUGCCACAUUGCAAAGCUGUACGAAAGUCAUUGUCUCUUAAAUGGCGUUGUCAUCACUCUGUUAGGACAAAACAUGGCUGCACUCCAUCAGAUCAUAGGUUCUUUUAGCCUCGUGCCCAGUGUUCAGUAGUCACAACUGGUGGUGAUACAUAAGAAAAGUGUAACAGCAUUUUGUAGCCAUACUUCUGCAGUAUUUCCCAGCUACCAGUAAUAGCUACUUGGAGUGUCAUUUGUUCAAAUGCACCAUAAAAUACAUUUUUUUCUUUCAUUUAAUAGUCCUUGAGAGAAUGUCUUCCAUCAGUCUGGCUACCCUUUUUUGACUAAUUUUAUGGGAGGAUGCAGAGCAUCAUGUGGCGAUGAGUUCCACAAUUAAGUACUUGCUCUGUAAAACAACAACAACAAAAACAAUGAAACAAAAGCCCUACUUCUUCUUGACGAAGUAUUUCAUAGUUACGUUCGAUGCACAUUCAUUCUUGUAUUAGGAAAGACAGUAAAUACUCGUCUUCUGUUUGCCUUUUUUGUUCAAGACAUGGUUUUCUAGUUUUGAGUCACAUCCUUCUCAGACAUUUGUUUUCCAAUCUGAUAUAUCUUCACAUGAAAAUUGUUCCAUAUUUUUGAUCAUCCUUUUGCCUAUUUCUGCAUGAUUUGGGGUUCUACCAUGUACUUUUAAGAUGAGUAAUGUCAUAAAUCUUAAUAAAUCCACACAAUGUUCUAACCAUUGGUAUAGUAACACUGCAUUGUGUAUGGUAAAACAAUGAGAUUUUCUGUUCUGUUCCCUGCUUUGCUUUUCUGUUAUUGAGAACUAAUAGAACAUUUUCACAUAAUUAGAUGUCAUAAAUUUACAGUCCCAGUCCUGACUGUUACUACUUUUGCAGUCACUUGCUGUACAUGUAAUUCUAGGAUUAUUUUUUUCCCGUGCCUUACUUUACAUUUAUCUACUCAGAAUUUCCUCUGCUGGUUUAUUGCCCUGUCACUGUUUUCCUUUUGCACUUCCUUAUAGCUUAUUUUUACUCUCCUGAAUAACCACGGAUUAAAGAGAAAACUGUCACUUCAGUAUCACUCUUCUUGGAUCAUUUAUUAACAUGCCAUGAAGAUGUAUGCCUUCUCUUCAUAGGAUCAUGAACAACCUGUAACUCUCCACCACUUUAUUGUGAGAUUCACCUCUGCUAUCAUGAGCUCUCAGCAGGGGAAUGUACUGGAAGCCUCUCAUCGCUGAGUAGUUUACAUAGCUACUUCAUAGCAAAACGAGUAGUUACCAGACCUAUUCAAAGUUGCACCUGGUUCCAAACUGGCAUUUCUUUCUACGCUUACACAUCCUCAUAUUGCCCCAGCAUUGUAAAGGAAAUUUACAAAAGCUGAAGCCUUUUCUGGCCUCUAUAGUCUGUAUCACUAUCAAUGUAAUGACUCUGGGAAUCAGCUUUGCCGAUAAAAGACUGGCAUACUUCAAACAGUCUCAAGUGUUAAAGUGUAUGGUACAAAACAAGCUUUGAAGUUUUAUCAUGACAAUAAAUGCUUAUUGCUUUUCUCACUGUAUGUGUGUUCAAAGAUCAUGUAUUGUGUAUGUGGUGCAGUAGCAUUGUAUGAGAGGACUGAGACUUUUUUUUUUUUCUCACGCAUUUGGAUCUCAUCUAUCACCUGCAAAGAUUUACUGCCUGCUAGUUACACUCAUUUAUUUUUGUCUGUCAUAGCCUUUAAAAGUGGAAACCUACUUUGGCUUCUAGGAACCUCAAUGAUCCCAGGAAUGGAAAGAACAAAAGGUGAUUAGAGUAGGAGGGGAGAAUGGGGAAAUCAGGGAAAAAGUUCUCAUUUUACAAUAAUUAGUUAAAUACUUUGAAACAUGUAAAACCUUUUAAGUAGUCCAAAUAAAUAGUAGUCACAUAGUAAAUGAUAUACAGUUGUUUGAAUAGUUAGUUCUUAAGUCUUCUUUCAAAUUUGCUGCGGACUAACUUUGAAAAAGAUGAUUUAAACUCAAAAUGAGAAGAGCAAAGAGCUUUUGUUUGUUUGUUUGUUUGUUUGUUUUCUCAAACAAACAACCUCUUACAAAUUACGAGUCUUUAAAGGUCAGGUGUGCAGUGGAAAUAUGUCUUCAAAUAUACCAUUUAUUCACAGCUUUGCAGUGGAAAAUAACUUGAAGAUUUCUAAAACAUACAAACAACAACAGAAGAACCCUAUGCCUUGUAAGCUUUCAGUAAGUCUCAAGAGGAGAGGAUGAAUCACAUAUUCACAAGCACUUCAUACUUGCUUAUCUUUAUAAAGAGGAGACCUCAUUCAGGGCUGGAAAGAUUCACAGGAUGGGAAAACUGGCUACCUACAGACCAACAGAGAGUGAAUAGAAUAACAGAUGAGGCUAGAGAGGGGCCGAAGUCACUUCAGUUGCAGCAACAUAUUAAUUUUCCCAAAGACAUUAUAACCCUUAUAAGGGUCUGGUUAGUGCAAGUAACCUACUUGCACUUACAGGGAAGUGGACAAGGGUUUUCCUGCUGGAAGCUCUGAUGGAUGUAACAGCCCAUUUCAUUGGUAUCCAAAGGGGAAGAUCCCAGGAAGUCUGGAAAUGGGCUGAAAUUUUGGGCAUUAACUUAUAAACUGAAUUUAGUGGCAGCUCAUGGAAACCUACCCAGCAGGGUUCUCAUGAAGAAGUAAAGUGAGUCCUGAGUCCUACAUUUGCCACUGCUUGAUGAAGUUCGUAUGGUCUAUUGUGUAAUUAAUGUGGAGCUGUACCCCAUGACAUGUUAAGUGUGAAGAGUUACGGUGCUGAAACAAUGAAAUUCUGCAGCGUCUGGUUUGGCCAUCAGGGAGUUGCCAAGACAUUUCUGUGUUGCUUGAAGAUAGUGGCAUGCUAUUGUAAAACACUUACAUUACACAUAUGUGUAGCUCUGCUGACAGUUGAUUUAUAACAAUGGUUUUCUUAGAUUUUGGGGGGGCUGUGUAGCACGCAGCUUUCUCCAGCCUGCAGCCCUUCAUCAUUUGACACGGAAGGUACUGCAAAUGCAACUUAAUUACUGCAAUAAAUAGGUCCCUGUC